UCUAAGGAUGAAUGAAAGUAAAAUUUCAUUCUAAAUAAUAUACAUCGGUAAUGUUGACCGUCCUCAUUUCUCUUCUUAAAGUAAUGUUUCCUUCUUGUAGGGCCGGUAGCUCAGUUGGUUAGAGCACACCCUUGAUAAGGGUGGGGUCGAAAGUUCGAGUCUUUCUCGGCCCACCAUACUUAACUGGGGGAUUAGCUCAGCUGGGAGAGCGCCUGAUUUGCAUUCAGGAGGUCAGCGGUUCGAUCCCGCUAUCCUCCACCAGGAAACAUUUAGUUAUAAAAAAUUGUAAAUAAAAAUAAUAAUUAAUAUCAAUAUCUAUAUCCGAACAUUAGUAAUGUUAUUAGCUAAUGUUCAAAAUAAAAAUUUGAUCACAACAUAGUUAAAUUUUCUUUAAAAAGAAUUUUUUUCUGUGCAUAAAU
rnacentral:tRNA from 1 species